UGAUGUUUCUUAAAACAUCAGCCUGAAACACUUAUACUGCCACUUUUCUUUCUUUCAUAUUCCAUUGGUCUAAGAAAGCUAAACCCCAAGUGAAGCGACCAGCAAUAAAUACUCAGGUGACUCUAAUGGAAGCCAAAGCAAUGCCAUAUGACAGAGGCAUUGGAUGUUCAUUCAUUUUCCAAGUAAGGGGUAAAAGGACAGCCUACUUUGUCCAGUGGAGGCAGCCAUCCCAUUCCAACUGACAUUUGUGGGAUAUUAGAGACCAAGAAGUGUUAAGAGAUGAUCUUCACAAAAUGCUGAGCUUGUGUGGGUGUGGAACUACAAACAGGAGAAGACGGAUAUUCACAUGCGGUGGUGGAGGGUUAUGGCUCUCCAGCCUGGAGGAUUGGAGCUUGAGCCAGGAAAGAAGCUUUCAUCUGCAUCAAUAUGCUAGUCCAUGGAGUACACAGAUUGUUCUACAAACCAUAUGGUGACUAAGCCUCAUUAUUGAAUGCAGUUGACAUGGAAACAACUAGUCAACAUCAAAUAAAUAGAUUAUUUUGUGCAAAUAGCUGCCUCUUUGUGAC
rnacentral:lncRNA from 1 species